rnacentral:rRNA from 1 species
GAUGAACGCUGGCGGCGUGCCUAAUACAUGCAAGUCGAGCGAACAGACGAGGAGCUUGCUCCUCUGACGUUAGCGGCGGACGGGUGAGUAACACGUGGAUAACCUACCUAUAAGACUGGGAUAACUUCGGGACACCGGAGCUAAUACCGGAUAAUAUAUUGAACCGCAUGGUUCAAUAGUGAAAGACGGUUUUGGUGUCACUUAUAGCUGGAUCCGCGCCGAAUUAGCUAGUUGGUAAGGUAACGGCUUACCAAGGCUACGAUGCGUAGCCGACCUGAGAGGGUGGUCGGCCACACGGGAAGUGAGACACGGUCCAGACUCCUACGGGAGGCAGCAGUAGGGAAUCUUCCGCAAUGGGCGAAAGCCUGACGGAGCAACGCCGCGUGAGUGAUGAAGGUGUUCGGAUCGGAAAGCUCUGUUAGUAGUGAAGAACAAAUGUGUAAGUAACUAUGCACGUAUUGACGGUACCGAAUCAAAAAGCCACGGCUAACUACGUG